rnacentral:tRNA from 1 species
GGGCCUGUAGCUCAGUUCGGUAGAGCAGCGGACUUUUAAUCCGAAGGUCGUGGGUUCGAAUCCCACCGGGCCCACCA